GUGGGGAAUAUUGGACAAUGGGCGCAAGCCUGAUCCAGCAAUGCCGCGUGGGUGAAGAAGGCCUUCGGGUUGUAAACCGCUUUUGUCAGGGAAGAAAUCCUUUGGGUUAAUACCUCGGAGGGAUGACGGUACCUGAAGAAUAAGCACCGGCUAACUACGUGCCAGCAGCCGCGGUAAUACGUAGGGUGCGAGCGUUAAUCGGAAUUACUGGGCGUAAAGCGUGUGCAGGCGGUUUUGUAAGAUCGAUGUGAAAUCCCCGGGCUCAACCUGGGAACUGCAUUGGUGACUGGAAGGCUGGAGUGCGGCAGAGGGGGAUGGAAUUCCGCGUGUAGCAGUGAAAUGCGUAGAUAUGCGGAGGAACACCGAUGGCGAAGGCAAUCCCCUGGGCCUGCACUGACGCUCAUGCACGAAAGCGUGGGGAGCAAACAGGAUUAGAAACCCGGGUAGUCC
rnacentral:rRNA from 1 species